UACGUAGGGUGCGAGCGUUGUCCGGAAUUAUUGGGCGUAAAGAGCUUGUAGGCGGUUUGUCGCGUCUGCCGUGAAAAUCCGGGGCUCAACCCCGGACUUGCGGUGGGUACGGGCAGACUAGAGUGUGGUAGGGGAGACUGGAAUUCCUGGUGUAGCGGUGAAAUGCGCAGAUAUCAGGAGGAACACCGGUGGCGAAGGCGGGUCUCUGGGACGGUACUGACGCUGAGACGCGAAAGCGUGGGGAGCGAACAGG
rnacentral:rRNA from 1 species